rnacentral:misc_RNA from 1 species
UUCACUCAGUAUCUAAAUCGACAGCCAACUCUCUUCAGUUCAUAAACACCCCGCUUUUUAAAUAUUGGAGGUAUACAACUAAAAGCUAGUAUGCCUGUUCUCAAUAAUUGAAUAAAAUUUGCAAUGUCAAAUUUAACCAUACUUCUGUGACCUUAAUUAUACUUCAAGCACCAAAAGCAAUGCCACCAGGAUUAAGGUCCUUGAUCCAAGCAUCUAACAUGGUGUCAAGAGAUGGCUCACGUUAAGGG